UACGAAGGAUUCGAGCGUUAUCCGGAUUUAUUGGGUUUAAAGGGUGCGUAGGUGGACUAAUAAGUCAGUGGUGAAAGCCCGCAGCUUAACUGCGGAACUGCCAUUGAUACUGUUAGUCUUGAGUACAGUUGAGGUGGGCGGAAUGUGUCAUGUAGCGGUGAAAUGCUUAGAUAUGACACAGAACACCGAUUGCGAAGGCAGCUCACUAAGCUGUAACUGACACUGAGGCACGAAAGCGUGGGGAGCAAAC
rnacentral:rRNA from 1 species